AAUAUAACAGAUCCGGUUAGAGGCUACAGCUAUGAUUUACUCCUUUCUGAGUUUGGAUUCCAUUCACUGCGUAAGCAGCGUGAAAUAAACGGCCUAAUAUUCAUCUUCAAAAUUGUCAAUUGCCUAAUUAAUAGCGAUGUUUUGCUUAGUCUUGUAGACUUUAAUGUACCACGAGCUGUGUCACGUUCAGGUGUAACUUUUCAUAUUUCGGUGCCUAAUUCGCAACAUAAUUUCUAUUGUCCGAUAAAAAGUAUGUGCAGAAGUGUAAAUAACUUAAGAUCUGUGGACAUUUUUUUUCUUAGUUUUAACAUCUUUAAACGGGAAAUACGCAAUAGCUUAUCGAAUUGAAGUCAUGUUAUUUUUCUUUAUUAAGGUCUUUGUUUUUUUUUAUUAUUGUGUAUGUGUAUUAACAACACAAACAUUUUUGGUUAUUCUUUAUAUUAUUUUAUAUUUUGUCAUCAAGUGUUCAGUCAAUAUAGUUUUCUUAUGUACACCUUUAUGGGUUUAUACCUGGUGGAUGUAUAUUUCAGUAAAUAAAUAAAUAAAUAAAU
rnacentral:lncRNA from 1 species